AUAAACAGGCAGGAAAUUAAACUGACAAUGUGAAAUGGCCAAUCUUCCACCAUUUUCUUUUCAUUCUUCUUUAGAUAUUUUUCCUGGGCCCAGACUACCUUUCCUCACCAUCUGUAAUAAAGUAUAGGUCAGAGGGGCUGCGAUUGAAGAGGAGGUGGGGCUUUCAGUGUUCAAAAGAGAUUAAAGGAGAAAUAUACUUCCAAAGAUUAAAAGACCCCCUCAAACAUAUCAAAUUGAGAUAAAACUCACCGUGGCCUAUAGAUCUAAGACUGGUCUCUGUUAACAAAUGCACCUCAGCAAACUCAGGACUUGAGAAGCCUUAGCCUUGGGGCUGCCCAGGGCUCUGCCACAGCUCAGAUGGAUACUUACUCAACCAGCAACUUAACUCUGUCAUUGGGCUGCUGCAUGUCACUGGAGGUCACCUUUCAUCUGGGAGAAGCAAAUGCCUUUUGUCUUCAGAGCUGAAAAAACUCAGUCUUUCAUUUACCUAUGAAAGCAACAGUUCAGUUCCUCAUGCAAAUGUGCACAGACAAGCUGAAUGGAGAUUAAUUUGGGGAGAAAAAGUAAGGGGAGAAAACCCCUUAGAAUGCAUCUCCGAACUAGAAUUCGGAUCCUUAAACAACAAUUGCGUAGGAGAAAAACAACAACAAUAACAACAGCCAAGACCACUUCCUGUAAACUGUGCUCUGCCACUCCUACUUUGCAGCUGUCAUGCACCAUUACACGUGCCAAGGUCAAAUCCUCUCACAGAACAAUGUAAUCUCUGGUAGUCUCAAAAUCAAAGAGUUCAGGUCAUGCAAUACAGGAAAACCGAACUUUAGACCUAAGAAGAACCUGCCUAUGACUCUUGAAAAUCCACACAGUAAACAGAACACCCCAAAAGUGCUGCAAGGAAUUUUGGCCAAAUUAGAGCGGCUUUGAUACCCAUAAUUUGGAAUUCUCAUUCCAAUUUGACCAAGUCAGAUAAAGUUGGUCAAAUCUGAUGGGGGAAAGACUAGAACAAACAACAGCAGCAGCAACAACAACAAAACCCCAAUAAUAUGAUCACUGAGCACCCUAAUGAAAAGAAUAAAUUAAUACUACCCCAAUUAGGCUACUUACCUAGGAAUGGGUCUUAGGCUGAAGACUGCUUUCUACCAUCCUAGAAGCAGGGAAAAAACAACCAGAAACAAAACAAAAAAACAAACUCAUCUUUCUUGCUGUGAGUGAACUCAAACUCCAUAAAGGGGUUACCUGCCUUUGAUCAUCACGGAAACAGGAAAUUUUGCCUUCCUUGUUGGAAGCAACUAAAACUCCAAAAGAAAAAAAAGGAAUUAUAAAGCAAAAUAAACUUCAGGUCUUGACCAAAUUUUGGGAAACCAGGGAUUCUCUCGAGGGGGUGCUCCCAGACCUCAGCCAGGUGUCCUAUUGGUUUGGGCCAUAAAGUUAGCUCAUGCUGGUACCAAGCACCAACAAGAGAUUUAUCAAGGGUCAGGGCAUCUUCACUCAGAAACCCUCCAUGGUUACCAAAAUGUGAACUCUGAAAAUCUGAGACAGGUCUCAGUUAAUUUAGAAAGUUUAUUUUGUUAAAUUUGAGGUUGCGCACCUGUGACACAGCCCCAGGAGGUCCUGUCGACAUGUGCCCAAGGUGGCUAGAGGCACAGCUUGGUUUUAUACAUUUUAGGAAGACAUGAGACAUCAAUCAAUAUGUGUAAGAUGCACAUUGGUUCAGACUGGAAAGGUGGGACAACCCGAGGUGAAGGUGGGACAACUCCAAGAGAGGAGGGGCCUUCCAGGUCAUAGGUAGGUAAGAGACAAAUGGUCGCAUUCUUUUGAGUUUCUGACUAGCCUCUCCAAAUGAGGCAACCAGAUAUGCAUUUAUUUCAGUGAGCAGAGGGGUGACUUUGAAUAGAAUGUGAGGCAGGUUUGCCCCAAGCAGUUCCCAGCCUGACUUUUCCCUUUAGGUUAGUGAUUUUGGGGACCCAAAGAUUUAUUUUCCUUUCACAGUAUUCUAUGCAUAGAAGCCACAUGAUAAAUGUGUAUGGAUUAUGACAGAGUGUCUUUCUAAAAAUAAAGCACAAAAUUUAAAAUAUUUUUGCAGGGUUUGUCCCUUCUCCACCUCUAUGGAAAACUUUAGUAGAUAAGAAAAUUAAGAACUAGAAACCUUUCCUUGUUUCCUCACCUCUAACAUUUAUUAGUUGGAUUACUGUGGGCAAUUAGGUUAGCCUCUUCAUGCCUGUGUUUUCCCAUUUGUAAAACAAAAAUAAUAAUAUGUAGCUUAUAAGAAUAUUGUGAAGCACAAUUAAUGUUUGUAAAGUAGUUUUUAACAACCUCAAUGUCAUAGAAAUGUAAAAUAGCCUUAAUUUAAAAUUUAAAACUAUGUAUGUAUAAUGAUUC
rnacentral:lncRNA from 10 species